ACACACACACACACACACACACACACUCAAAUGUCUUUGGUUGCCAUUUUGAAGAGUUUACCUCUUAAAUUUUAAGGAUUUUAUUUAUAUUUACAAGUGUCUGGGCUGGGGGCCGAUCUCAAGUAGUAGAGGGAAGCCGUUAGUUCAAUCACUACUAUUCAAAAAUAAAAGAAACUAAUAGUUAACAAAAAUGAUUUUAUAAUCUUAAUAAACUAAAAACUACAUAAUGAUUGCCAUAUGAAAAGCACUUAACAAACAGUUGGAUGAAUAAACCUCAAUACUUACAGGACAACAAUCAUUCAAAUAAUUUAAUUCCCACUGGAUAUAGGAUUCUUUAUAGGAUUCUACAGUUCCAGCUAAAGUCAGUUAUCUCCACAUCGUGUUUUUCAUGGACUAGCUAUGUAACUGGUACUCUGCUCAAUAUCUAAGCUUUAGAGGAAAAGAUAUUUUCUUCACAGAUACAUUAAAAAUUAAAAGAAUAACCUACUGCAUAAUUAAAUAUGAACAAUGAAAAAAGCACAUAUAAUAGUCUGAGUUUGAUUUUCAAGUCAAAAAUAGGAAAUGGCCUACUUAAGAAGUUGCUGUGUUUGAAAAUGGAUUUAUGAUAGAAUCAAGAUACCAACAUUUGCCGUGUGUUCUCAUUUAGGAGGUGUAGUUUCUUUGUCAGAUUAAAACAUUGUCACAGAAGACAGCAUGUUUAUGAUCAAACGAUCUCUACACAAAAUACUGCCUUAAUGGGAUUGUUUGUAUUCCAAAAAUAUGUCUCCUUGAACACUGGUUUGUUUCAUGGUCUUCACUUUUUGGAGGGUUUGAGUUAGUCCAAAAACGCCAUGGCAUGCAUACAAAAGUUAACCUCCUGUAUUCUGAAAUAGAACAAAAAGGGAACACAGAUUCGAACUGAAGAUUCUAUCAGAUUACUGUAGUUCAAAACCCUGAACUUUAUCAACUUGAUAAAAGGUUUCCUCAAGUUUGAAAUACUCCAAGUAUAUCUCUUUCCAAAAGAGUGCUGUGGCAUUUGUGAAGAAUGAAAACAAGAGGAAAAACCUAACUUUGGUUAGACUACAGACUAACAAAUAGUAAAGAAGCUAAGUGCCAUCACUAUGGUGAUUCGCUAACAGGUACCUUCACAGGUAGAUAUUUGCUAAUUAAGGGUAGAUAAAAAAGUUCUACAUUCAUGUGAAAAAAAGUUAAGUAAAUAUGCAAACUUGAAUGCUAUGAUAUUAUGUGAAAAAUCAACUAAGGCAUAAAAGGAGGUGAUUUCAGUCAAGACGGUGAGGGGUGAGGGAACUCUCCUCUUAAGUCAAGGGACACGUCUCCCAGCAGUAACAAGAUGGCGUCCUGAUGGUUGUUUGCUUUGGCAGUGAUGAAGGUCAACACAAGGGUCUGAGACAGAGGGAAUCUGAACACUUUUCUAUUUUGUUGGCUUAAAUUCACAGAAUGUACUCACACCUUUCUGUCACUUGAUUAUCAUCAAAACAGAUCAUGUCUCCCUUUUGAGGUAAUUAUGAAGCAGAAUUUCCAUGCAUGCUCUAUCAUUGUGGAUAGCAAAUUACAACAGCCCACUGAUAAGCUUAUACACCUGAUAAAGAGAUCUGUCCGAGUUUUCUUCAAUGACUUUUUCCCCUCUAAACAAGCAGGUCACAGUGCAUUCUAAAGUGUAUUCCCAUGGUGAUACUUGGGACAUUUUCCUUCUGGACUUUAUUAAACAUAAUGUUCUAAGCAUUGUGAGUGCUCUAAGGUAAACCUGAAUAAUAACUACAACUGCAGAGUGAAAGUGGCAAUUAAAAUCCCAGAGACAGAGGGGAUACAGAGACUAGGAAACAACAGCAUCUGCUCUUGGAUGGCUGGGCUGCUGAGCUAGCUGGGUUAGCAGACACUGCCUGAGGCCAAAUUGGGCCCACUGCCUGUUUUUGUAUAGCCUGCAGGAACUAAGAAUGCAUUUCACAUUAUUAAAUGGCUGGGAGGGUGGGAAUCAAAAUAAUAGCAGUAUUUUUGUGACCUGUGAAACUUAGAUGAAAUUCAAAUGUCAAUGGCUAUAAAUGAAGAUUGAUGGGAAGACAGCCACAUGUAUUUGUUUACAUAGUAUAGGCUUGGACGCUUUGGAAUCUGAGUUGAACAGUUGGAACUUUGAAGUAUGAUAUGCAGAGCCUAAAAUAUUUACAAUCUGACCCUUUCCAGAAAAACUUUGCAGCCCCUGAGUGAUAGCAGAGCUUCCAAUGCCAUCAGUGAUAAGGGAGCUGGUUUCUUUUCUGUUUUCUAAUUCAUCACAGACCUGAGCUAUGCUGUUAUAGCAUUCAAAAAUCACACGCUUGGAUGCUGUAAGUGAUAUCAAAUUGCUGCAAGUUUCUUAAAUGCAUUCUCUGAAAGUCUUUAUUUAUGGUCUUGCCUACUGGCAUCAGUUUGCAAAUUUUAUUUUAAAAAGCAUCGAUAGAGAUAAUACAAAUACACCUUUAUACAACUGUUCAGAAAAUCUCCCUUCUCCUUCCAUACUUUUGAUCUGAUGACCAGUAAGUAAAUACAUAGAGAGACCUGGCUAGAUCAAUUGUUUCUCCAUGACUCUUUUUCUCUGAUUGACAAUUUUAAAGCUAUGGUUUCUUCCUUACCAACUACUACAUUAUAUCAUAUUUUUACUAAUUCUCUUAGGCUUUGGAUAAAAGAAAAUGUGUUUCUUUUAUAUUUCAUGCUUUGGGGAAUGGUAACUCAAGUUUCAUAAACAGAACAAUUAGUACAAAUGUGUUUUGGACAAUCUGUGCACAGACAAAAGCAGUUUCUUCUGUUUAAAUUUCUAAAAGAUUGAACAUAUUUCUUCUUAUGCUUGCUUUAUAAUAGCAAUGUCCCUUGAUAUGUCAAAGGCCACAAAAGUAAUUUUUAGCUUAGGUACAAAACGUGCUUUGGGCUUGUUUUACAGGACACUCCCUGGUUUGAGUGUUGCAUUAAAAAAAAGAAAAUGAAAAAAAUAUCAUCUCCAUGAUUUUUUAUUUUCUUGUUGUUGGCUGAAAGUUAGCAGUGAUUUACUUUCAAAUUUCAAUCUUCAUCUCUCUAGGGAAAUGCCUAUUUAAUUCUACUGCGAUUUUUGUGUAAGAACUGCAAUAAUUUCUAAAUGCUUUUAAACACGAAGAAAGAUGAAACUCUAUUACUGUGCCAAUAACUUUUUUAUUAUUAGGUGUCAAAUAGGAAAACAUUCAAAUAAGAAACAGCACUGGGACUUCACAGUGUCAGUAGAAAACCUGUAAUAUGGAGUCUAAGGUGUGUUUAAGUACGUGAAAAGAGCAAAUAAUCUGAAACAGUUGCAUUAGAUGACAGAAAAGGAAAUAUUCUCUUUAUUUGUUGUUACAUAACAAUGCUGUUGCUAGCAAAGGGUGAAAAUUAUAAAGUGGAAGGAAUAUAAAACCUCUGUACAUUGAAUUCUUGCAAAUGUCCGCUUUGCUGCAGCAACUCACUAUCAUAAAAUAGUCAAAAUAGUAAUAUAUAGCCAUUCAGAGCAGUGACAUAAUGUUCAUAAAUAUUUAUAACCAUGCUGAACAAGACUAUCACUAGGAGAUGCGGCUGUGGUAUAGAAAGAAAAUGAAGACUUGAUUGGAGCUCUCAUUUUGCCAAUUACUAGGCUUCAUAAUUCUGGGGAGGUUUCUUACUUAACCUUUCUGAACUUAUCUCUCUUCUAUAAAAUGGACAAGAUUCCAUCAACCUCAGAGGAAUUAAGGAAGAUGAUAUAAGUGUCUUGGAAACUAUUUUAAAAAGUACUCUAUAAAAUGUCAAGGGUUAUUAGUAUUGAGUUGGGAGGGAGCUCAUAGAUGCUUAUUAUAUUUACAUGUCUAAAAUUUCUGUUAUUAAAAUGAUUUUUAUACAGCAAAAUAGGUUCUGGGUUGUCUGUACACUUUAAUGAGCUUUUUAAAUAGUUCAGCUUCCUAUGGCAGAGAAUAUAGUGCAGACAAUAUGUUGCACAGAAUUGUAGUUAAUUGUAUAGUGGUGACUGUAGAUGCUCAGAGCACUCUGGGUGAGAAAUUGGAAGAAUUGCUUAGGGUGGACAGAACCAGGAAGAGAGAUGGGAGAGUUGGGGUGGGAAGAGAUGCCACUUAAGGAACUUGAGAGAGUUAGCCAAGAGAAUAUGAGAGGAAGUCUAUCAUCUUAUAUUUUCAAAAUCUAAGAUUAUUUUCAUAUCAUAUACUGGCUCAAGAACUCUCUUUUAUAUAGUAGAUUUUUCCUCUUUCAACUUUUUUUUUCCAAUUAUAAAAAAAAGAUAAGGAGCAUUCUUUCCUUCUAAGGGGUAGGUAGAAUCCUCAUGUUUGGGAAACCAGUGCUCCCUGGAGUCCUUUGGUCUGGAUAACCAAGAAGGGCUUAGUUACUUAAGGUUGCUACAUUCAUUGUAUCCAUCCAACAUCAGGAAAUACAUUUCUAUCUUGGGACCCAAGAUCAAUGUCUAGGUGUAGAAACCACAACCACAUUCUUAUUCUUUGACAGAUUAGCUUGUUACUACAUCAAACAGAAAGAAGGUAAUUCAUGUUAAAUCAUAUCCCCCAAUUCCAUAGCUCAAGUCAGUAUCAAAUCACCUGUCUACUCUCUAUCAAGUCCUGACUAUUUCUCACUUUUCACUCAUUUUAUGUCUGCCCAAUCCUGCAGAAACUCAUAUUUCUUUUUCAGAAAUCUGUAAAAAGGAAUCUACAUUAUUGGUAAUCUGCACUAUGCCAGACUUCCAG